rnacentral:rRNA from 1 species
UACGUAGGGUGCAAGCGUUAAUCGGAAUACUGGGCGUAAAGCGUGCGCAGGCGGUUAUGUAAGACAGAUGUGAAAUGCCCGGGCUUAACCUGGGAACUGCAUUUGUGACUGCAUGGCUAGAGUUUGGCAGAGGGGGGUAGAAUUCCACGUGUAGCAGUGAAAUGCGUAGAUAUGUGGAGGAACACCGAUGGCGAAGGCAGCCCCCUGGGUCAAGACUGACGCUCAUGCACGAAAGCGUGGGGAGCAAA